rnacentral:rRNA from 1 species
UACAGGGGGUGCAAACGUUGCUCGGAAUCAUUGGGCGUAAAGCGCACGUAGGCGGUCUGUUAUGUCGGAUGUGAAAGCCCUUGGCUCAACUGAGGAAGUGCAUCCGAAACUGGCAGGCUAGAGUACUAAAGAGGAUCGCGGAAUUCCCGGUGUAGAGGUGAAAUUCGUAGAUGUCGGGAGGAACACCGGUGGCGAAGGCGGCGAUCUGGGUAGAUACUGACGCUGAGGUGCGAAAGCGUGGGGAGCAAACAGG